UACGUAGGGGGCUAGCGUUGUUCGGAAUUACUGGGCGUAAAGCGCGCGUAGGCGGUGAUCUUUGUCAGAGGUGAAAUCCCGAGGCUCAACUUCGGAAUUGCCUUUGAAACGGGAUCGCUUGAGUCCGAGAGAGGAUGGCGGAAUUCCUAGUGUAGAGGUGAAAUUCGUAGAUAUUAGGAAGAACACCGGUGGCGAAGGCGGCCAUCUGGCUCGGUACUGACGCUCAGGCGCGAAAGCGUGGGGAGCAAACAGG
rnacentral:rRNA from 1 species